rnacentral:rRNA from 1 species
CCUGCCUCAAAGAGGGGGACAACAGUUGGAAACGACUGCUAAUACCGCAUAAGCCCACGACCCGGCAUCGGGUUGAGGGAAAAGGAGCAAUCCGCUUUGAGAUGGCCUCGCGUCCGAUUAGCUAGUUGGUGAGGUAACGGCCCACCAAGGCGACGAUCGGUAGCCGGACUGAGAGGUUGAACGGCCACAUUGGGACUGAGACACGGCCCAGACUCCUACGGGAGGCAGCAGUGGGGAAUAUUGCACAAUGGGGGAAACCCUGAUGCAGCGACGCCGCGUGGAGGAAGAAGGUCUUCGGAUUAUAAACUCCUGUUGUUGAGGAAGAUAAUGACGGUACUCAACAAGGAAGUGACGGCUAACUACGUGCCAGCAGCCGCGGUAAAACGUAGGUCACAAGCGUUGUCCGGAAUUACUGGGUGUAAAGGGAGCGCAGGCGGGAAGACAAGUUGGAAGUGAAAUCCAUGGGCUCAACCCAUGAACUGCUUUCAAAACUGUUUUUCUUGAGUAGUGCAGAGGUAGGCGGAAUUCCCGGUGUAGCGGUGGAAUGCGUAGAUAUCGGGAGGAACACCAGUGGCGAAGGCGGCCUACUGGGCACCAACUGACGCUGAGGCUCGAAAGUGUGGGUAGCAAACAGGAUUAGAUACCCUGGUAGUCCACACCGUAAACGAUGAUUACUAGGUGUUGGAGGAUUGACCCCUUCAGUGCCGCAG